CACGGACCUAGGGGUCCCCCAGCUUGAGCAAUAAUCCCUUUAUACAGUAGGUUCUCUGACUUAGGGGACCCCCUUCUUCCAACCGGAGCUGCGUGGCUGUGGAUCCCCGCAGAGCGCGUGGGAAUGGGGGAGGGGCGAACGGAGUAUUAUUUGAUAAGGUUUAAACUGCUCUCUUGCUCCCAGUACACCUUCCCUACAACCUAACACAGUGCCUCAGGUUGCGCCAUUACAUUUCCAGCCCUUUGGGUCUUAGAGGCAUUGAAGGUUCCCAGAGUCUCCUUGGAAACUGCCAACAUCCCUGGGAGAGGGAACCCCCUAAAGUGUUAGCAUCCCACGCCCGCGAUAGGGAUUCGUUGGCCACCAGCGGAAGGAGUUGGGCCUGGAGAACAAGAUCCAGGGUAUCAAAAGUUGGGUGCAUAUUUCACAACUGAAGAAGGCCACAUCUGACAUUUGGCCCUGCGUGAAUGCUAAAGACCUCAAAAUCAAAUUGACUAGAAGGAGAAGUAGCUGAAAUCAAGGUAGACUGCUUUUUCCCAAGAAGUUAGAUUGAUGAGGGAGCAUAAGUUUAUUACACAACUCAAGCAAAAGACCCUGCAGACAAAGUAUCCACUUAUGGGAACCAAAACUACCUCCUGAAGCAGUAAGGACUGCCCUGAGCCAGCCAGAUCCCACCCAUGACAAUGCUGGACCACACCUUUACUGCCUUAGGUACCCACCGAACUUUGUCCCACAUUUUCCUUAUAUAAACCUGGAAAUACUUUCAGCACUUCGAGAGUCUUUGAGAUCUUUGAGAUGCUAGUCCGCUGUC